UCCUGGUAACAACUUUGUAAGCAGGAGCUACAUGGAUGCACCCGGCUGCUCUCAUUGGGCACAAGCUGUAGUAAGCAGGUUCCAGUAUAUCACAGCUUGUGGGGAAGAAUUUUUCAAGUGUAUCCUCGUUAGUAUAGUGGGAAUUUUGGCUUUGAGGAUGGGGAGGACAAACCCUUCAUGAAACCUAUCAGCAUUGAUACAAGCCAGUCCUAGCACAGAAACCAUCUUGGGCCAAGCAACCUGCUUUGAAGUUAAUGGAGUAAUAAACUGGGGGGGGGGGCAGAAUGCACUUCUCUAUUCACACCCCACAUGCUAUUGUAAUAAUCUUUUUACAAAAUAUGCCUUGUGAGGUAUCGUUUGAAAACUAAUAACUCAAUGGUCAAUAAUGUCAUGAUGAAAUGUGUGUUGCGACAUUAUAUGUAGAGUUACGAACAUAAGCUGAAAUUGUGACUGACGCGUGUGUACCAGACAGGUCCGGGGAGUGGGUAAACCUGUUUCUGAAAGACAAAGAACAAGCUGACAACAUUAGCCAGGUGUCAUCAAAGCUGAUGGACAAUUACCUCUCAAGUGGCCAUUCUUUGGCAAGGAACGGGGCAGGACCAAACAGAUCUGCCUCUUAGCAAACAACAGCACGGAACCUCUUUCACCACCAGACCCCUUGAUUCCAACCUCCCAAUGGAAAUGAACUUUCUCCGUGGGUAGCCCUCAGGAAAAUGCAUUUCAAAGCAUGACUUAACUAUAAAAGUGAGGGGCAAAACCACCCCAAGUUAAUCCCUUCCUAUCCAUCUCUUUCCAUUUCACCUAAGAAGACAAAAGAAGCAGCUAUUGGACUUUGGGCAAGAUCCUGAUCUGAAAUUUGGUCAGCCCUGAUGCUGGAAGCAUGUGAUGAAACACAUAUCUUUGAAACAGACCUUCUGUGUAAGGGGAACAUGCUGCGAGACAAGAAUUGCUUCCCGGAAGGAGGGUAUGUAUGUCUCCUUUUCAUAGUGGAUUGCUUUGGCUAAAUUUGGAUAUUUGGUCUCUUGAACGUUUUUCAGCAUGAACCCGAAUGUCGUCAAACAAUUAGCUACACCUUUUGUUAGUAGGAUACAUGCAUGGGAAGAAAAGCAGUGAAGGGGUCAGGUUUUGGGCCAUGAUACAUAUGUGGAGAGUGGGCCCAAGGUUGCCUUGGAAAUCCUAACUGCGUUUCCUCAUUGUUGUGUAUUUAGUCUCUCACUACCAGCGCCAGAUUAACAUGGCUGUUCAUUGUUCAGAAAAGAAAAGCAACAGAGUAUUUUUCUGUAUGUGGCUAAAUAAACACACCUUUGCAGGGCCGGCGGGGGGGGGGCGGGGCAAGUGGGGCAAUUUGCCCCGGGCCCCGCCGGGGCCCCCAUGAGAAUACAGUUUUCUAUAGUCUUGCAACUUUUUUUGACGGAAGGGCCAGUG